UGGCUCAGUUGGUUAGAGUGUUGUGCUGAUAACACCAAGGUCACGGGUUCGAUCCCUGU
rnacentral:tRNA from 1 species